UGAGUAACCUGCCCCUGACUCUGGGAUAACCCCGGGAAACCGGAGCUAAUACCGGAUACGAACCACUCAGGCAUCUGAGAGGUUGGGAAAGAUUUAUCGGUCAGGGAUGGACUCGCGGCCUAUCAGCUUGUUGGUGGGGUAACGGCCCACCAAGGCGACGACGGGUAGCCGGCCUGAGAGGGCGACCGGCCACACUGGGACUGAGACACGGCCCAGACUCCUACGGGAGGCAG
rnacentral:rRNA from 1 species